rnacentral:rRNA from 1 species
GAUGAACGCUAGCGGCAGGCCUAAUACAUGCAAGACGAACGGUAAGUUGAGUAGCAAUACUUAGCCAAGAGUGUCGUACGGGUGCGUAACACGUAUGCAACCUACUCUAUACAGGAGGAUAGCCUAGGGAAACCUGGAUUAACCCUUCAUAGUAUUAUUGGAUGGCAUCAUUUGAUAAUUAAAACUGAGGUGGUAUAGGAUGGGCAUGCGUCUGAUUAGUUAGUUGGCGGGGUAAUGGCCCACCAAGACGAUGAUCAGUAGGGGUUCUGAGAGGAAGAUCCCCCCACACUGGCACUGAGAUACGGGCCAGACUCCUACGGGAGGCGGCAGUAGGGAAUAUUGGUCAAUGGAUGCAAGUCUGAACCAGCCAUGCCGCGUGCAGGAAGAAGGCCUUCUGGGGUUUGUAAACUGCUUUUGCCAGGGGAUAAAUUUCCAUGCGUGGAAAACUGAAGUACCUGGUGAAUAAGCCACGGCUAAACUACGUGCCAGCAGCCGCGGUAAU